AUUGAACGCUGGCGGCAUGCCUUACACAUGCAAGUCGAUCGGUAACAGGUCUUCGGAUGCUGACGAGUGGCGAACGGGUGAGUAAUACAUCGGAACGUGCCCGAUCGUGGGGGAUAACGAAGCGAAAGCUUUGCUAAUACCGCAUACGAUCUACGGAUGAAAGCAGGGGACCGCAAGGCCUUGCGCGAACGGAGCGGCCGAUGGCAGAUUAGGUAGUUGGUGGGAUAAAAGCUUACCAAGCCGACGAUCUGUAGCUGGUCUGAGAGGACGACCAGCCACACUGGGACUGAGACACGGCCCAGACUCCUACGGGAGGCAGCAGUGGGGAAUUUUGGACAAAGGGCGAAAGCCUGAUCCAGUCAUGCCGCGUGCAGGAUGAAGGCCUUCGGGUUGUAAACUGCUUUUGUACGGAACGAAAAGACUCUGGUUAAUACCUGGGGUCCAUGACGGUACCGUAAGAAUAAGCACCGGCUAACUACGUG
rnacentral:rRNA from 1 species